AGACUCCACCUGCUCACCUGGAUACGUGUUUUGCUUUCUUUUCAACAACAACACAUGUUUUGCUUUUUUUCCAAAACAGCAACAUGUCUUCUUUUUCUUAAAGCACCAAAACAGCUGGUGCCGGAGCAAGCCAAAAGCCAUCCCUCUAAAUUAGGUUUUCCCUUUCUUCUUCUUCUUCUUCUUAUUACCCUAACCCUAACCUUAGCUAUUCGAAUUCCACUCCUCUUCGCGAAAUCAUGGCGACGACUUUGGUGAGCUCCGCGGGUGGGAUGCUUGCGAUGCUGGACACGCUCUCUCCAACCUCAACAACUUAGUUUUUUAUUAUGGUCUAUUGUCGAUUCUAAAAUCCUAGCUGAUGAAACUGAUGACAACAAUUGAUGUAUAUUGUUUCAGGCUACACCAAAACUCACUGAGGAUAAAGUCAGGCAGUGUGUUGAUACAAGACUAGGAGGAGAAUACCCACCCAAAGCUGUUGCUAAGUAUAAGGUCAGUCUGGCCCCGGGGAGCGGGUGUAUUGAGGUAAAUUUACAGCUCUGCCUCUGCUCCGAAAGAGCAUUCUCCAAUAACGGUUUCACUCCUUCUGUCGCACCGCUGCAGAUAUAAAGAAAGAUUCUUUACCAGCUCUAAGAGAUAUCAGAGAGCGAUGCAUCAAUCAACUUGAGCAAAUGCGAUCUGACCACAUGAGGAGGCUUAACCCAACUCCAUAUAAGGUUAGUGUUAGUGCAAAAUUAUACGACUUCAUUCAUUUCCUGUGGCUCAAUGAGGCACCAGUUGGGGAGCUACAGUAAGGCAAAUAAAAUGGUGGCGUGCCUUCAGAACCCAAUGGGUAUGGCAAAAAAAAAUGUUCAGUUCAGGGGAAAUUUCUCCAUACAGUAUUUUUUUUUAUCAGCAUUUCUCCAAUUUUGUGAGUUAAGCAGCCUAACUUGAUGCAGCAUAUAAACUCUCAUUGGUUACUUUUGUGCUUGCUUGCUAGCAGUUUUAUAUUUAGUUUUGUUAUGGAAGCGGAAAAAUUGGCUUUAUUAGUUUCAUAGUUAGGUGUUGGUUGUACUAAUGCCCCUCCUCACAUGGGUAGUGCUUACACCACCAUCGCCGCCGAUGCCAUUGCUCGCUUCCAGGGGCUUCUUCAGGUGUAUGGUGGAAAUCUAGGAUGGUGCUUUAUUGAAGAGGCCUAUUACAAGCUCCUACUGGAGGCCCUACUUAGCAAACAACAAGGUUCUGCAGAAUAUAAGGUGGGAAUGGAACUUACCAAAUAGUUUGGUAAUCUUGGAACUGGGCGUGGGCUUGAAAUGGUUGCUGCCUUUGAAAAAGCUUCCAGCAAGAAAAUUCCAUUAAAAAUGUGUCCCAGAAGACCCGGGGAUGCUACUGCUGUAUAUGCAUCUAUGGACAAGGCUGAGAAAGAACUUGGUUGGAAGCAAAAUACGGUAUAGAGGAAAUGUGCAGGGAUUUAUGGAAUUGGACAAGCAAAAAUCCAUGGGGAUACCAGGGGAAGCAUUAAAUUAAAUUUGGUGCUCGAUCGGUUGUACUUGGAGAUUGCUGGCUAUGCUCUCUGGCACAUGCCGAGAUCAAUCCAUCGAUACUAACCAUGUGUUUGUUUGCCUCUACGUCCAAAUGAAAUGCUUCAAUGCUGAUAUUCCAUACCCCAAUCCCCACCCAAACCUCUCUUGAAUGUACACAACAAACAGUGUAGCGGCUAAAGUGCCAAAUGCAGUGUUAAACGACCACCAGUUGAAGUAUGAAAAUUUUAGCACUUUUUCUUUGGGUCUCAAAAGUUGACAUGUUGGGCUUCAGCACGCCACUGCCAAUGGCUACAUUGUGUGUGCAAUAUGAAGCUGAUUUCAGACCAAACAUGAGCAUUUGUAAAAAGAAGAGGAAAAAACUUUAGCAAGAGUUAUUGAGACUUUAGACAGUAACUUGAUCUUCUUCUCUCUAUACAUGUAUGGAUGUAAUUUUGUGAUCUUAAUGUAUUAAAAAUGGCAUUAGCCAAGAAAAGCUAAGUACAAAUAGCAGUGGAAGUUCUAACGCUAUCUAAUUUAGGCCUACCUAUCAUGGUUGCACAAUAUAGCUCCUGCACAGAAAGUGAUGUCAGUGGCUAAUAGCUAUACCAAUAUGAUGAGAAAUUCACAAUUCA